GCCCAAAUUACUACCACCUUAUAAAUAUUUUAUAAUAGAAACAACUAUCUUUAUUAAUAUGACAAAGUACAGAAAUGGAAAAAUUAAAUAAAACAUAGUAAACAUUAACAACUGUACCUUGUGCAUUAUGGUUUUACAAGAAAAGAAUUGAUAAUAUUAAUCCCGAAUUCUUAAAUGAGAUGUUAAAUUGCUGUUAUGGACCAACUAAUAACUGUAGAAAAAGUUUUAAAAGACAAUUUAACAGGGGCUACAUACCAUCCGCAUAAGAAAAUAGCUGGUUCUCAACAAACAUUAUACAUUAAGACAUAUAAUUAUAUUAUAGUGUAAAAUUAUUGAGGAUAAGCCCAAUAAUCUGAGCCAUCACAUAGAUAUCAAAAUUACAAAAUAGGCCUAAAAUCAGCCAACUAAAAUACUUUACCGUAGAAAGUAAUGAUAUAAUAUAUAUAUAUUAUUUAUGCAACAAAAAGUUGAGAAUGUAGUAAAACUAACUUCACUACAUUUAAUAUGUAAAAAUAAGUAUUUAUAAAUUAAACAUAAACAUAAAAAUAAAUAACAGCCCGCAUAUUAUCAAUAACUAAUUAAGGAACUCGGCAAAUACCUAUUUCGACUGUUUAACAAAAACAUUGUCUUAUGAUAUUUAUAUAUAAGAUAAUACCUGCCCAGUGACUAAUUGUUUAACGGCCGCGGUAUCCUAACCGUGCAAAGGUAGCAUAAUCACUUGCCUAUUAAUUGUAGGCUAGAAUGAAUGGGUUAACGAAAUAAAGACUGUCUCAGUUAGUUAAAUAAAAAUUACUCUCUACCUGAAGAAAGGUAGAUACUCUCGAAGGACAAGAAGACCCUAUAGAGCUUUAUUAUAAGUAUAGAACUACACCAUACAAAAAUUCGGUUGGGGCGACCUAGGGAAUAUUUAUCACCCUACUAAACAAAGAUAACUUAAUCCAAUUAAUGACCCUUUAAUAGAUCAAAAAACCAAGCUACCUUAGGGAUAACAGGCUAAUCCCACUCAAGAGUCCUUAUCAAAAGCGGGGGUUGGCACCUCGAUGUUGGCUUAGGAUAUCUAUAUAGCGCAAAAGCUAUAUAAAGAUGGUUUGUUCAACCAAUAAUUUCCUACAUGAGCUGAGUUCAGACCGGCGUAAGCCAGGUUAGCUUCUAUCCGCGACACAAAACCACUGUUCCUAGUACGAAAGGACCUGAACAGAAUAAUAAUUAUAUAGCAGAAUCCAUAUAAUUAAACCUAACUAAACUCAAAAUAUAAACUAUA
rnacentral:rRNA from 1 species